UACGUAGGGGGCAAGCGUUGUCCGGAAUCAUUGGGCGUAAAGAGCGUGUAGGCGGCCAGAAAAGUCCGCUGUGAAAACUCGAGGCUCAACUUCGAGCUGUCGGUGGAAACUUUCUGGCUAGAGUCCGGAAGAGGAGAAUGGAAUUCCUGGUGUAGCGGUGAAAUGCGCAGAUAUCAGGAAGAAUACCCGUGGCGAAGGCGGUUCUCUGGGACGGUACUGACGCUGGAGACGCGAAAGCCGUGGGGAGCGAACAGG
rnacentral:rRNA from 1 species